ensembl:lincRNA
GAAAGAUUUCAAAACAUUUUUGACAAAUGAUCAAACAAAAGUCACUGAGGAAGAAAAUAAGGGUUCAGGUACAGGUGCAGCCGGUGCCUCAGACACAACAAUAAAACCCAAUCCUGAAAACACUGGGCCCACAUUAGAAUGGGAUAACUAUGAUUUAAGGGAAGAUGCUUUGGAUGAUAGUGUUAGUAGUAGCUCAGUACAUGCUUCUCCAUUGGCAAGUAGCCCUGUGAGAAAAAAUCUUUUCCGUUUUGGUGAGUCAACAACAGGAUUUAACUUCAGUUUUAAAUCUGCUUUGAGUCCAUCUAAGUCUCCUGGCAAGUUGAAUCAGAGUGGGACUUCAGUUGGCACUGAUGAAGAAUCUGAUGUUACUCAAGAAGAAGAGAGAGAUGGACAGUACUUUGAACCUGUUGUUCCUUUACCUGAUCUAGUUGAAGUAUCCAGUGGAUGUUGCAGACUCGUUUAAGAAAAUUUUUGAUGAAGCAAAAACAGCCCAGGAAAAAGAUUCUUUGAUAACACCUCAUGUUUCUCGGUCAAGCACUCCCAGAGAGUCACCAUGUGGCAAAAUUGCUGUAGCUGUAUUAGAAGAAACCACAAGAGAGAGGACAGAUGUUACUCAGGGUGAUGAUGUAGCAGAUGCAGCUUCAGAAGUUGAAGUGUCUAGCACAUCUGAAACAACAACAAAAGCGGUGGUUUCUCCUCCAAAGUUUGUAUUUGGUUCAGAGUCUGUUAAAAGCAUUUUUAGUAGUGAAAAAUCAAAACCAUUUGCAUUCGGCAACACUUCAGCCACUGGGUCUUUGUUUGGAUUUAGUUUUAAUGCACCUUUGAAAAGUAACAAUAGUGAAACUAGUUCAGUAGCCCAGAGUGGAUCUGAAAGCAAAGUGGAACCUAACAAAUGUGAACUGUCAAAGAACUCUGAUAUCGAACAGUCUUCAGAUAGCAAAGUCAAAAAUCUCUCUGCUUCCUUUCCAACGGAAGAAUCUUCAAUCAACUACACAUUUAAAACACCAGAAAAGGAAAACAUGAUAUUGAGGCUGGGCACGGUGGCUCACUCCUAGAAUGCCAGCACUUUGGGAGGUUGAGGUGGGCAGAUCACUUGAGCUCAAGAGUUCGAGACCAGCCUGGCCAACAUGGUGAAACCCUGUUUCUACUGAAAAUACAAAAAUGAGCCGGGCGUGGUGGUGUGUGCCUAUGAUUAGCAGCUACUUAGGAGGCUGAGGCAGGAGGAUCACUUGAGCACAGGAGAUGGAGGUAGCAGUGAGCUGAAAUCAUGCCACUGCACUCCAGCCUGACUGUGAGUGACUGAGUGAGACUUUGUCUCCAAAAAAACAAAAAAAAAAAAAACAUGAUAUUGAGAUGUUCUCAUUUUAUGUGUUGUAUGUCAGUCUUGCUCAUGUAUUAAAUGAGCAAAGAAUGAAACUACAGGGAUAAAUGAAUAUGUAAGACAGUCAGAUUGGUGGUAUAAAUUGAGGGAUUCUGGCUUUUUAUGUUUUAAAAGCAUAUUCAUUUUGUUUCCUAAAAUGUUAAAAAACGAAAUAUUGUUUAUUUUCUAGGAUUUAAUUUUAGCCUUUUUAAAUCUAAUCCCAUGGCCUUUUGGACUAGCACCCCUUCCUCACAGCCUGAGAGCAAAGGUAUAGAACUAGCAUUCUCAGUAUGAGAUAACAGCAGUUUUUAGCAGCUGGUAGCCCUUAGCAAAGUAUUAAUAACUGUGGCUGUAUGAAAUGAAGUACUUACCACUACU